ensembl:lncRNA
GGCGGCGUCGUUUGUGUGGAUUAUGCGUCAACAUUUCUGUCCUGGUUAUGGAAACGUUUAUGAUUCAUGCGAUUAUAUGUAGACAAUAAACUAGUGUUUAAAAAAACAAAACAAAUGAGAGAGAUGUUUUUUUAAAGAAGUAGCGCUAGAAUUGAGUGCUGUUACUAUACGGAGCUAAAUAGCUAGCUUAGCUUCCUGCAUUAAGGCCUAAUUGUGAGCUUGGCACGUUUUAGGAAGCAACCUUGGGGAUAGAUAUGAGUGUUUAGUUACAUGUUGUAUCAUUUUGAAUUUAGUCGGUUAAUCUGCUUUGAAAUUAUAUAGUGAGGUUCUGCAAACAUGUUAAAUGACCUGAGCAUUGGAUGAUGAUGAUGAUGAUGACCUGCUAAUUUAGACAUUGAUCUCUGAAGGCUUUAUUCUGAAGGUCCACCUUCCUCUGAGCUGAAGCUUUAUCUCCUAGAACAGCAGCAAACAUGACUGGAAUCCAAUCCAGAGAUGAGUCGGUUGGAGACAGUUCUGAUGAUGAACCUCUGAGUAAAAUGGUGAAACCUGGCAAGAAGUGUCCAGAAGAUGCACCCUCGGAUAUCAUGGAAGAUGCUUCACCAAAGAAAACCCUUAAAGAGCCCACCUCUGCUGCGGAUGAGUGCCCUGGACACAGCUCUGAUGACGAGCCUCUGAGCAAACUGACUGAAUCAAAGGGGGCGAAGCGCUCAAGUAAACAAAAAGAGACUGCUGCGGGGAAGCAGUCAGAAUCUGAAGACGAUCAGCCGCUGACGAUGAUUAUCAAGAAGAAGAAGCAGAAGGCUGACACAGAAGAGCCUGAAGAUGCCAAGAAGACCAGAAGCCCAAAAAAGCGUAAAGCUGUGACGAAGGCCUCAAAGCUCAGAGAUUCAUCACCCUCGCCAUCGCCGUCGCCAGUGAAGGCCACACAGAGAAGAGGACAAAAAGGUAAGGACGAGUCGAAAAAGAAAGUACCGGCACAUUCACCAGCUGUGAACACGACGCCUAAAAGGAGAGGUCGCGCCAAGAAAGAAGGAAAAGCCCCGUGUAGCGACAGCUCGGAUGACGAGCCCUUGAGCGAGCUGCCGUGGAAGAGGAGCGAGCCAGAGAUGAAGCAGGCGGUGGUGCUGGUGGAGAGGAUGUCUGAAAGAGACGUUAAGGAUGCAGUGGCACGCGGACGUGCACACAGCCAAGAGCAGAAAAGUACAGCCAGAGCAGAGUGUGCAGCGGAGGGCUCAGACGAGGAGCCUCUGAGUCAUAAGAUGAAGAGACUGAAAGAGCAGAGCAAGACUGCGAGAGGCAGGAGACCAGCGGCAGAUGCCAGUUCAGACGACGAGCCCUUGGUGAGGAAAGUGAAAGCAGCGAAGGUGAAGGAUAAGUUUAGAAAGAGAGCUAACGGAGAAGAGGACACAGUCAAACAAGGUCUUUAAGGACAAACGAAGCACAUGUAAGUAACCGCUCCGUGACACCACACAGGUGAGAAUAAUCACGUGUUACCUGCUGAUGUUUCAACCCGCCUCCUCUGAUACUUGACUCCGCCCACGCUCUUAUGACAUCAUUAAGAGGGAAAAAAAACAUAUGCCAUAUCCAUAUGUGAAUUGUUUGCGAUACGGAUGUGACACGUCUGAAACAGUACUCCAUAUAUCUCGCGUAUAAACGAUGCAGUUUUCCUUACGAGUGUCUUCAUUUUUAAAUGUACUUAUGUAAAGCACUUUUAAUUGCCUUUGUGUGUGAAAUAUGUGCUGUAUAAAAAAAAAAAAAAAAAAAAAAAACCCCACCGUGUUGAUAAUUUAACCAAAGAAGUUACGUUGUGCAAAGAUGUCCCCAGACAUUCUAAUGGUUUCCAAUACAAAUACCAUUACAAACCGUCAGCUAUUAACCUAAAGAAGCUUUUUGAUCCUUAAUGGUAUCCACUAGACAUAAUAUGCCACCAAUAGAAGGCAA